rnacentral:rRNA from 1 species
AUUGAACGCUGGCGGCAGGCCUAACACAUGCAAGUCGAGCGGAUGAAGGGAGCUUGCUCCUGGAUUCAGCGGCGGACGGGUGAGUAAUGCCUAGGAAUCUGCCUGGUAGUGGGGGAUAACGUCCGGAAACGGGCGCUAAUACCGCAUACGUCCUGAGGGAGAAAGUGGGGGAUCUUUGGACCUCACGCUAUCUGAUGAGCCUAGGUCGGAUUAGCUAGUUGGUGGGGUAAAGGCCUACCAAGGCGACGAUCCGUAACUGGUCUGAGAGGAUGAUCAGUCACACUGGAACUGAGACACGGUCCAGACUCCUACGGGAGGCAGCAGUGGGGAAUAUUGGACAAUGGGCGAAAGCCUGAUCCAGCCAUGCCGCGUGUGUGAAGAAGGUCUUCGGAUUGUAAAGCACUUUAAGUUGGGAGGAAGGGAAGUAAGUUAAUACCUUGAUGUUUUGACGUUACCAAAAGAAUAAGCACCGGCUAACUUCGUG